GAUGCCAGGGGGCAAAGGUCUAAAUCCACUUGAGCUUGCUCAUAAGUGGAUGAAAGACCUUUAGCCCCGCCCCCAAUAUGAGCAUAAAAGUGGGAUGUUAAUCCCACGAUAUGCGAAUAGUGGGGAGGCUUGUGAGAGUGCGCAGCACGGAACAAGCCGUAGGCAU
rnacentral:sRNA from 1 species